rnacentral:rRNA from 1 species
GAAUUCGAUUCGGUGUGACAAGGCCCGGGAACGUAUUCACCGCGGCGUUCUGAUCCGCGAUUACUAGCGAUUCCAGCUUCAUGGAGUCGAGUUGCAGACUCCAAUCCGAACUGAGGCCGGCUUUUUCCGAUUAGCUCCCCCUCACGGGUUUGCGGCGGUUUGUACCGACCAUUGUAGCACGUGUGUGGCCCUGGACAUAAAGGCCAUGAGGACUUGACGUCAUCCCCACCUUCCUCCUCGUUAUCCGAGGCAGUUUCACUAGAGUGCCCGGCUUGACCCGAUGGCAACUAGGGAUAAGGGUUGCGCUCGUUGCGGGACUUAACCCAACAUCUCACGACACGAGCUGACGACAGCCAUGCAGCACCUCCGCAGCAGCCUUUUAAGGGGAAGGGAUGUUUCCACCCCGGUCCACUGCGCUUCGAGCCCAGGUAAGGUUCUUCGCGUUAAUCACUA